rnacentral:rRNA from 1 species
UACGAAGGGGGCUAGCGUUGCUCGGAAUCACUGGGCGUAAAGCGCACGUAGGUCGGACUCCUAAAGUCAGAGGUGAAAUCCUGGAGCUCAACUCCAGAACUGCCUUUGAUACUGGAAGAUCUUGAGUUCGGGAGAGGUGAGUGGAACUGCGAAGUGUAGAGGUGAAAUUCGUAGAUAUUCGGAAGAACACCAGUGGCGAAGGCGACUUACUGGACGACGUGUUGACACUGAGGUGCGGAAAGCGUGGGGAGCAAACAGG